rnacentral:ncRNA from 2 species
UAAAAUUAUCAAGAACCCCAAAAUUUGGGUAGCAACCUGCAACAAUAAGCAAGGUGCUGAAAUCGAUAAGCCGUUUCCGGAAAAAAUGUUGAAAUC